rnacentral:rRNA from 1 species
GCCACGCUGAUGCGAUUUCGGUCAAAUCAUGUGGCAUUCGAGUGGCGGACGGGUGAGUAACGCGUGGGUAACCUGCCUUACACAGGGGGAUAACACCUGGAAACAGGUGCUAAUACCGCAUAAGCGCACAGGGCCGCAUGGCCCGGUGUGAAAAACUCCGGUGGUGUAAGAUGGACCCGCGUCUGAUUAGCUUGUUGGCGGGGUAGGGGCCCACCAAGGCGACGAUCAGUAGCCGGCCUGAGAGGGUGGACGGCCACAUUGGGACUGAGACACGGCCCAAACUCCUACGGGAGGCAGCAGUGGGGGAUAUUGGACAAUGGGGGAAACCCUGAUCCAGCGACGCCGCGUGAGUGAAGAAGUAUUUCGGUAUGUAAAGCUCUGUCAGCAGGGAAGAAAGAAAUGACGGUACCUGACCAAGAAGCCCCGGCUAACUACGUGCCAGCAGCCGCGGUAAUACGUAGGGGGCAAGCGUUAUCCGGAAUUACUGGGUGUAAAGGGAGCGUAGACGGUGAUGCAAGUCUGGAGUGAAAGGCGGGGGCCCAACCCCCGGACUGCUCUGGAAACUGUGUAACUUGAGUGCAGGAGAGGUAAGCGGAAUUCCUAGUGUAGCGGUGAAAUGCGUAGAUAUUAGGAGGAACACCAGUGGCGAAGGCGGCUUACUGGACUGUAACUGACGUUGAGGCUCGAAAGCGUGGGGAGCAAACAGGAUUAGAUACCCUGGUAGUCCACGCCGUAAACGAUGAUUACUANGUGUCGGUGGGUAUGGA